rnacentral:rRNA from 1 species
GAUGAACGCUGGCGGCGUGCCUAAUACAUGCAAGUCGAGCGAACAGACGAGGAGCUUGCUCCUCUGACGUUAGCGGCGGACGGGUGAGUAACACGUGGAUAACCUACCUAUAAGACUGGGAUAACUUCGGGAAACCGGAGCUAAUACCGGAUAAUAUAUUGAACCGCAUGGUUCAAUAGUGAAAGACGGUUUUGCUGUCACUUAUAGAUGGAUCCGCGCCGCAUUAGCUAGUUGGUAAGGUAACGGCUUACCAAGGCAACGAUGGGUAGCCGACCUGAGAGGGUGAUCGGCCACACUGGAACUGAGACACGGUCCAGACUCCUACGGGAGGCAGCAGUAGGGAAUCUUCCGCAAUGGGCGAAAGCCUGACGGAGCAACGCCGCGUGAGUGAUGAAGGUCUUCGGAUCGUAAAACUCUGUUAUUAGGGAAGAACAAAUGUGUAAGUAACUGUGCACGUCUUGACGGUACCUAAUCAGAAAGCCACGGCUAACUACGUG